UUAGGCAAUCUCUUGAGUAAAAUGACUCAACAUGCAACUAUUGUCAUAUCUCAUAUUGAGUCAUCUAAUUAAAAAAUAUAUAUAUGUUGGAUGAAUGCUUUGUAUCUUAAAGAAACUAAUGACUCUCCUUCAAGAAAGAAAAAUGAGAGAUUUUAGCUUGAAGGACACCUCCACAUAAGAUACAAUAAACUUUCACAUGCAAACAAGAGAGA
rnacentral:lncRNA from 1 species